AUACGAGGGGUGCAAGCGUUAAUCGGAAUUACUGGGCGUAAAGCGUUCGUAGGCGGUUUGUUAAGCAAGAUGUGAAAGCCCUGGGCUCAACCUGGGAACUGCAUUUUGAACUGGCAAGCUAGAAUACUGCAGAGGGUGGUGGAAUUUCCAGUGUAGCGGUGAAAUGCGUAGAGAUUGGAAGGAACAUCAGUGGCGAAGGCGGCCACCUGGACAGAUAUUGACGCUGAGGAACGAAAGCGUGGGGAGCGAACAGGAUUAGAUACCCCGGUAGUCC
rnacentral:rRNA from 1 species